UACCAGGUUGAUAGGUUAGAAGUGUAAGUAUAGUAAUAUAUUAAGCUGACUAAUACUAAUUACCCGUAUCUUUGGCCAU
rnacentral:rRNA from 1 species